AGAGAGGGAGGUGAAGAGGGACACGGAGAGAGGGAGAGGGGGGUGAAGAGGGACACGGAGAGAGGGAGAGGGAGGUGAAGAGGGACAUGGAGAGAGGGAGGUGAAGAGGGACAUGGAGAGAGGGAGAGGGAGGUGAAGAGGGACAUGGAGAGAGGGAGAGGGAGGUGAAGAGGGACAUGGAGAGGGAGGGAGGUGAAGAGGGACAUGGAGAGGGAGGUGAAGAGGGACAUGGAGAGAGGGAGGUGAAGAGGGACAUGGAGAGAGGGAGGUGAAGAGGGACAUGGAGAGAGGGAGAGGGAGGUGAGGUGAAGAGGGACAUGGAGAGAGGGAGAGGGAGGUGAAGAGGGACAUGGAGAGGGAGGUGAAGAGGGACAUGGAGAGAGUGAGGUGAAGGGCCUAACUGUCUGUCCUGAGUCACUUACUGUUGUAGGGCCUAACUGUCUGUCCUGAGUCACUUACUGUUGUAGGGUCUAACUGUCUGUCCUGAGUCACAGACUGUUGUAGGGUCUAACUGUCUGUCCUGAGUCACAAACUGCUGUAGGGUCUAACUGUCUGUCCUGAGUCACAGACUGUUGUAGGGUCUAACUGUCUGUCCUGAGUCACAGACUGUUGUAGGGUCUAACUGUCUGUCCUGAGUCACAAACUGCUGUAGGGUCUAACUGUCUGUCCUGAGUCACAGACUGUUGUAGGGUCUAACUGUCUGUCCUGAGUCACAGACUGUUGUGACUCUUUUGCUGACCCUGUAAAACAACACAUUUCACAAAAAAAAAUAAAAAAUAAAACCCUAAAACCAAUUCUAACCCUAAAACGAAUUCUAACCCUAACCCUAAACACCCUGGAAAUAGCAUUUGACCUUGUGGGGACUAACAAAAUAUCCCCAAAUGUGUGUUUACUAUUCUGUAUUCUUUUGGUCCCCACAAGUAUAGUUAAGCAUGUCC
ensembl:lncRNA